rnacentral:ncRNA from 1 species
UUUAGGACUCCGCCGGCACCUUAUGAGAAAUCAAAGUCUUUGGGUUCCGGGGGAGUAUGGUCGCAAGGCUGAAACUUAAAGGAAUUGACGGAAGGGCACCACCAGGAGUGGAGCCUGCGCUUAAUUUGACUCAACACGGGGAAACUUACCAGGUCCAGACAUAGUAAGGAUUGACAGACUGAGAGCUCUUUCGAUGAAUGGAGAUGUAAAUAGAAGCAAGAAAGGUGUACAUGUGUACGCGGGGCAUACCCCGGAGAUGGUGCCCACUCGACCCUCAUCGAUUGGGUGAAGUGGGCUAUAAAAACACUAUUCUAGUCACUGCUAGGAGGAUUCUCCUCCCAAGCCUAAGACUACUAAAUAUAUUACAUAUUAACAAACCAAAAAUAAAACAUCAAAAACAUUGAAGCACAACUACAGUGUCACGAAAGCACACGCUGCUUCCGGUCAACGCGGUCAAAGGUCCACGUCAUCCAGUCAACAGCCUUGUCAUGUGUGUAGUCGGCGUCCACAUCAGCG